rnacentral:rRNA from 1 species
GUGGGGAAUAUUGCACAAUGGGCGAAAGCCUGAUGCAGCAACGCCGCGUGAGGGACGACGGCCUUCGGGUUGUAAACCUCUUUUAGUAGGGAAGAAGCGAAAGUGACGGUACCUGCAGAAAAAGCACCGGCUAACUACGUGCCAGCAGCCGCGGUAAUACGUAGGGUGCAAGCGUUAUCCGGAAUUAUUGGGCGUAAAGAGCUCGUAGGCGGUCUGUCGCGUCUGAUGUGAAAACUGGAGGCUCAACCUCCAGCCUGCAGUGGGUACGGGCAGACUAGAGUGCGGUAGGGGAGAUUGGAAUUCCUGGUGUAGCGGUGGAAUGCGCAGAUAUCAGGAGGAACACCGAUGGCGAAGGCAGAUCUCUGGGCCGUAACUGACGCUGAGGAGCGAAAGCGUGGGGAGCGAACAGGAUUAGAUACCCUUGUAGUCC